rnacentral:rRNA from 1 species
GGGGGUGAAAGGCCAAUCAAACCGGGAGAUAGCUGGUUCUCCCCGAAAGCUAUUUAGGUAGCGCCUCGUGAAUUCAUCUCCGGGGGUAGAGCACUGUUUCGGCUAGGGGGCCAUCCCGGCUUACCAACCCGAUGCAAACUGCGAAUACCGGAGAAUGUUAUCACGGGAGACACACGGCGGGUGCUAACGUCCGUCGUGAAGAGGGAAACAACCCAGACCGCCAGCUAAGGUCCCAAAGUCAUGGUUAAGUGGGAAACGAUGUGGGAAGGCCCAGACAGCCAGGAUGUUGGCUUAGAAGCAGCCAUCAUUUAAAGAAAGCGUAAUAGCUCACUGGUCGAGUCGGCCUGCGCGGAAGAUGUAACGGGGCUAAACCAUGCACCGAAGCUGCGGCAGCGAACGUAUCACCCAAGACAACUUUACGGAGUUGACGAUUGACGGAGCGAAGCGACGUCAAAGCGUUCAUUAAAGUCGAGUUGGCUUAGGGAUACGUUCGUUGGGUAGGGGAGCGUUCUGUAAGCCUGUGAAGGUGUGUCGUGAGGCAUGCUGGAGGUAUCAGAAGUGCGAAUGCUGACAUAAGUAACGAUAAAGCGGGUGAAAAGCCCGCUCGCCGGAAGACCAAGGGUUCCUGUCCAACGUUAAUCGGGGCAGGGUGAGUCGACCCCUAAGGCGAGGCCGAAAGGCGUAGUCGAUGGGAAACGGGUUAAUAUUCCCGUACUUGGUGUUACUGCGAAGGGGGGACGGAGAAGGCUAUGUUGGCCGGGCGACGGUUGUCCCGGUUUAAGCGUGUAGGUGUGUGUUCCAGGUAAAUCCGGUU